AAACAAGCCUACAUUUCUAUGAAAAUGUAAGGUUUGGGGGUUUUUUGCGGCCCACAUAAACUGAAACCUCGUUUAUGUGGCCCGUGCCAGCCUUUGAGAUUGACAUGCUUGUAGUACACUUUCUGUUAGUUCUGAGGAAAUGUUGUAGUCACACUGUCUAUCUCACCAGUAGAAUGGAGAAGACUUGUCAGAUUACCCACAUAUAUAUUUAUUAUGGAAAACUGCUGAACAAAGGGCCACUAUAGUCACCAGAACCACUACAGCUCAGUAUAAUGUCCCUGCAGGUUCAGGAGUUUAAACGCUGUCUUUUCAGAGAAAAGGCACUUUUUACACUGCUGACCAAGUCCACCUCCAGUGGCUGCCCCUUGGAUAGCGAGCAGAGUGACUUUCUGGAACCUUUGAAGGACCUACAUUCUGCAUAUUCACGCUCUUCAUACAGAUUCAUUGAUAGUAAUUGAUUAGCAGCACAUGCACAGUGCCACCCUACAGUGAUUGGCUGAGAUGAUCAAAAUUAGUGAUCUCAGCCAAGGAGGAGGGGCUGCCACACUGAUGACUGAUUAACUUUAAUUUUCUUGCAUGUUUCGUUCAUUUGGUGGAAGUAGAUAUCACCAUAACAUUGCAUUAUGUAAGUGCAUGUUGCCAUGGCACCCAAGGUAACAUGUAUAAAGGAACACUUUAUUCAGUGCCUGGUUUAAAUGUCAGGCGCCUCUAGACCCCCUGUUCGCCAAAACCAAAAUAAGGCAGAUGAAGUAAGUAUAAUAAAUGUAUUAACAGGACAUUGCAGGCCUACAAACAUCAAAAAAACAUUCUUAUUUGACAACUGCGUAUGUAUAAAUGUAUGUAUGUGCCUAUCUCUGCUUGUAAUGUAUUGCAUGAGUUAUGUUAGAGGUGGUUAUGGUAAUAGGGGGUUAAGGUUAGAGAGGGGAUAAUGUCAGAGUUAGGUUACAUAGGAUGUUUAGUGUUAAGAUGAUAAAUAGCUUUAGAGGGGUUACAUUUGUAGUACAAGGAAAUUUAGUAUUGGUGUACACUGAGUGUUUCGCUCCUUAUUGGUGAUAAUCCCAAAAUUAAGGAUUACUGUUCUUCAGGUUGAGGCUUUGACUGCCGGAGUUUGAAGGAUUAUUAGCAAAUUUCUCUCUAUGUCUUCUGUAAACCAAUCAGAUUGAUGAUAUUAGAGCUGCAGUAGCUGUUAUACAGUGUGCAUCACUCUGUGCUGUCCCACAUUUCCUGUGUUAGAGGCUGUUAGUGACAGAUGGGAAGUGAUCCCUGUCACUAAGUGUCUGUAUCAGUUUAACAUAACUACAUUCUCCCGUGUGUCCUUCUUUGUCUGUCCUGAAUAUCGAGAACGAUCCUUUUAACACGUAUUUUUGCCUUGUGAUGUCCUAUGCCUAAAGAAGUUUAAAAGUGAAGGAAAUUCGUGCCAUGAGACACUGAUUCUUGCAUUGGCAGCCCACCGUACAUAAAUAGUGACUUUGCCAAGGCUUAAAGAAAUUGGCAGUGGGAUUUGUACAAAGUCACGAUUUAUACAGGCAGAGGUAUCUUGAGUUGAUUUGACUCAUAAAUCAACACGUUACAUCAUUUUUUGUUUAAAUUGUCCCACUUGUAACAGGGUUUUUCAAACAUGUGAAAAAAAAACGAAAUGGAGGCACCAUAUGUUAGAAUAAUUCGGGAACAAAUUGCGUGGGGUAUUAUGGGUAUUUGCACUCAAAUAAUUUUAAAUUUAACUGGAUGCAGUUGUACAGAACUGAACGGGUCAUUUGUAGGAUGGAGAAUAGGCAGCUCCGUGGGAAUGCCUGAAUAUUCCAAACCCAGUUGGAGACGCUGUGAUUUUAGGUGCUGAAACAUUUUCAUUCAGCUCAGUUGUGCAAAAAACAUAAAAUGUGACAGCAGAUAUUUGGCCCAUAUAGUCUGCCCAAUUUUCUAAAUACUUUCAUUAGUCGCUGGCCUUAUCUUAUAGUUAGGAUAGCCUUACGCCUAUCCCACGCAUGCUUAAACUCCUUUACUGUGUUAACCUCUACCACUUCAGCUGGAAGGCUAUUCCAUGCAUCCACUACCCUCUCAGUAAAGUAAUACUUCCUGAUAUUAUUUUUAAACCUUUGCCCCUCUAAUUUAAGACCAUAUCUGAACAAAAUAUUCAAUAAGCAAUGCAAACUGUUUAAAUUACCCUACCCAUCCAAACCGAUGCGAUCAGUGCUAGCGUUGGGGAGUCUAAUGGCAUUGCAAAUGAUCAUAAUAAAUCAAAACCCUUCGCAAUCAAAAUGCAAUUAGACCGAAGACAUUAGACAUUAGGGUGAACAAAUGGACUUUUAUUGUAAUCCAAUCAACACUUUUAAACUCGUACUUUUAGUGACUGCUUAAUAUACUUUUAG